rnacentral:rRNA from 1 species
UACGUAGGGCGCAAGCGUUGUCCGGAAUUAUUGGGCGUAAAGAGCUCGUAGGCGGUGUGUCACGUCGGCCGUGAAAACCUGCAGCUUAACUGUGGGCGUGCGGUCGAUACGGGCAUCACUGGAGUUCGGCAGGGGAGACUGGAAUUCCUGGUGUAGCGGUGAAAUGCGCAGAUAUCAGGAGGAACACCGGUGGCGAAGGCGGAUCUCUGGGCCUUACCUGACGCUCGAGGCACGAAAGCUAGGGGAGCGAACAGG